rnacentral:rRNA from 1 species
AUGUUACUAUUUGAAGCGACGAGCCACCAAGCGAGCAUUGUGAAAGGUUUGUUGAGCACAUAUUCCAGAGCGACGGGUCAACUUAUCAACCCCGAAAAGUGUUCCAUCCUUUUUUCAGACAAUUGCAUUGAGUCGGUGGUAGCGGAGAUGAAGAAUAUUUUGGAGGUUACAGAGCAAGUAUUUGAGCCUAAGUACCUAGGAUUACCUGUAAUGGAAGGAAGGGUACAUAAAUGCCAAUUUGAGACCGUGCAAGACAGGCUUAGGAAAAGGUUUGUCGAUUGGAGUGAACAAUAUGUGUCAUCGGGCAACAAGGAAAUUUUAAUAAAGGCGGUGGCGCAAGCAAGACCUACUUUUGUGAUGAGUGUCUUUCUCCUGCCGGCGUCCGUGUGUGAUGAUUUAACAUGGAUGAUGAGACAGUAUUGGUGGGGAGUGGAGAAUGGUAAGAGAAAGAUGGCUUGGCUCAGUUGGGAGAAGAUGACUCUACCCAAGGAUAUGGGGGGUAUGGGGUUUAGAGAUAUGCGGGCAUUCAACCAGGCGUUGCUUGCGAAGCAGGCCUGGAGGUUACUAGACAGCCCAGAUAGUCUUUGUGCUCGCCUUCUACGGGCUAAAUAUUACCCGAACGGUAAUCUUUUGGACACGGUAUUCCUGUCUAGCUCUUCUGCAGUCUGGAAAGGAAUUGCUCAUGGCCUUGAUUUUGUU